UACAGAGGGGGCGAGCGUUGUUCGGAAUUACUGGGCGUAAAGGGCGCGUAGGCGGCCCGCUAAGUCGAACGUGAAAUCCCCAGGCUCAACCUGGGAACUGCGUCCGAUACUGGCAGGCUUGAAUCCGGGAGAGGGAUGUGGAAUUCCAGGUGUAGCGGUGAAAUGCGUAGAUAUCUGGAGGAACACCGGUGGCGAAGGCGGCAUCCUGGACCGGUAUUGACGCUGAGGCGCGAAAGCUAGGGUAGCAAACGGG
rnacentral:rRNA from 1 species